GGUCUUCAACGAGGAAUGCCUAGUAAGCGCGAGUCAUCAGCUCGCGUUGACUACGUCCCUGCCCUUUGUACACACCGCCCGUCGCUCCUACCGAUUGAAUGGUCCGGUGAAGUGUUCGGAUCGCGGCGACGGGGGCGGUUCGCCGCCCCCGACGUCGCGAGAAGUCCAUUGAACCUUAUCAUUUAGAGGAAGGAGAAGUCGUAACAAGGUUUCCGUAGGUGAACCUGCGGAAGGAUCAUUG
rnacentral:rRNA from 1 species